GGCCUGCCCACUGAAAAAUAUAUAAAGGGCCGCGGUAAUCUGACCGUGCAAAGGUAGCAUAAUCGUUAGUUUUUUAAUUGGAAUCUUGUAUGAAUGGUUGGACAAAAGAAUAGCUGUCUCUAUAUUUAUCUUGAAUUUAACUUUUAAGUGAAAAGGCUUAAAUACUUUAAAAAGACGAUAAGACCCUGUAAAGUUUAAUAAUUUUCUUUAUUUAAUUGAAUUAUAGUAUAAUAAUUAAGUAAAAGAAAUUUAUUUUGUUGGGGCGACAAUGAUAUAAUGUUUAUUAACUGUUUACAUAAAAAACAAAUAUUCAUGAUUAUAUUAUAUUAAUGAUCCUUUAAUUAAGAUUAAAAGUUUAAGUUACUUCAGGGAUAACAGCGUUAUUUUUUUUGAGAGUUCAUAUCGAAAAAAAAGUUUGCGACCUCGAUGUUGAAUUAAAAUUUCUUUAUAAUUGCAGAAGU
rnacentral:rRNA from 1 species